rnacentral:rRNA from 1 species
GACGAACGCUGGCGGCGUGCCUAAUACAUGCAAGUAGAACGCUGAAGGAGGAGCUUGCUCUUCUGGAUGAGUUGCGAACGGGUGAGUAACGCGUAGGUAACCUGCCUGGUAGCGGGGGAUAACUAUUGGAAACGAUAGCUAAUACCGCAUAAGAGUAGAUGUUGCAUGACAUUUGCUUAAAAGGUGCAAUUGCAUCACUACCAGAUGGACCUGCGUUGUAUUAGCUAGUUGGUGGGGUAACGGCUCACCAAGGCGACGAUACAUAGCCGACCUGAGAGGGUGAUCGGCCACACUGGGACUGAGACACGGCCCAGACUCCUACGGGAGGCAGCAGUAGGGAAUCUUCGGCAAUGGACGGAAGUCUGACCGAGCAACGCCGCGUGAGUGAAGAAGGUUUUCGGAUCGUAAAGCUCUGUUGUAAGAGAAGAACGAGUGUGAGGGUGGAAAGUUCACACUGUGACGGUAUCUUACCAGAAAGAGACGGCUAACUACGUG